rnacentral:rRNA from 2 species
GAUGAACGCUGGCGGCGUGCCUAAUACAUGCAAGUCGAACGCACAGCGAAAGGUGCUUGCACCUUUCAAGUGAGUGGCGAACGGGUGAGUAACACGUGGACAACCUGCCUCAAGGCUGGGGAUAACAUUUGGAAACAGAUGCUAAUACCGAAUAAAACUUAGUGUCGCAUGACACAAAGUUAAAAGGCGCUUUGGCGUCACCUAGAGAUGGAUCCGCGGUGCAUUAGUUAGUUGGUGGGGUAAAGGCCUACCAAGACAAUGAUGCAUAGCCGAGUUGAGAGACUGAUCGGCCACAUUGGGACUGAGACACGGCCCAAACUCCUACGGGAGGCUGCAGUAGGGAAUCUUCCACAAUGGGCGAAAGCCUGAUGGAGCAACGCCGCGUGUGUGAUGAAGGCUUUCGGGUCGUAAAGCACUGUUGUAUGGGAAGAACAGCUAGAAUAGGGAAUGAUUUUAGUUUGACGGUACCAUACCAGAAAGGGACGGCUAAAUACGUGCCAGCAGCCGCGGUAAUACGUAUGUCCCGAGCGUUAUCCGGAUUUAUUGGGCGUAAAGCGAGCGCAGACGGUUGAUUAAGUCUGAUGUGAAAGCCCGGAGCUCAACUCCGGAAUGGCAUUGGAAACUGGUUAACUUGAGUGCAGUAGAGGUAAGUGGAACUCCAUGUGUAGCGGUGGAAUGCGUAGAUAUAUGGAAGAACACCAGUGGCGAAGGCGGCUUACUGGACUGUAACUGACGUUGAGGCUCGAAAGUGUGGGUAGCAAACAGGAUUAGAUACCCUGGUAGUCCACACCGUAAACGAUGAACACUAGGUGUUAGGAGGUUUCCGCCUCUUAGUGCCGAAGCUAACGCAUUAAGUGUUCCGCCUGGGGAGUACGACCGCAAGGUUGAAACUCAAAGGAAUUGACGGGGACCCGCACAAGCGGUGGAGCAUGUGGUUUAAUUCGAAGCAACGCGAAGAACCUUACCAGGUCUUGACAUCCUUUGAAGCUUUUAGAGAUAGAAGUGUUCUCUUCGGAGACAAAGUGACAGGUGGUGCAUGGUCGUCGUCAGCUCGUGUCGUGAGAUGUUGGGUUAAGUCCCGCAACGAGCGCAACCCUUAUUGUUAGUUGCCAGCAUUCAGAUGGGCACUCUAGCGAGACUGCCGGUGACAAACCGGAGGAAGGCGGGGACGACGUCAGAUCAUCAUGCCCCUUAUGACCUGGGCUACACACGUGCUACAAUGGCGUAUACAACGAGUUGCCAACCCGCGAGGGUGAGCUAAUCUCUUAAAGUACGUCUCAGUUCGGAUUGUAGUCUGCAACUCGACUACAUGAAGUCGGAAUCGCUAGUAAUCGCGGAUCAGCACGCCGCGGUGAAUACGUUCCCGGGUCUUGUACACACCGCCCGUCACACCAUGGGAGUUUGUAAUGCCCAAAGCCGGUGGCCUAACCUUUUAGGAAGGAGCCGUCUAAGGCAGGACAGAUGACUGGGGUG